rnacentral:rRNA from 1 species
CGGGUGAGUAACGCGUGAGGAACCUGCCUCAAAGAGGGGGACAACAGUUGGAAACGACUGCUAAUACCGCAUAAGCCCACGGCUCGGCAUCGAGCAGAGGGAAAAGGAGCAAUCCGCUUUGAGAUGGCCUCGCGUCCGAUUAGCUAGUUGGUGAGGUGACGGCCCACCAAGGCGACGAUCGGUAGCCGGACUGAGAGGUUGAACGGCCACAUUGGGACUGAGACACGGCCCAGACUCCUACGGGAGGCAGCAUG